UAAGACGUAGGGUGCGAGCGUUGUCCGGAUUUAUUGGGCGUAAAGAGCUCGUAGGCGGCUCGUCGCGUCAGCUGUGAAAACCCGCGGCUUAACCGUGGGCUUGCAGCUGAUACGGGCGGGCUAGAGUUCGGUAGGGGAGACUGGAAUUCCUGGUGUAGCGGUGAAAUGCGCAGAUAUCAGGAGGAACACCGGUGGCGAAGGCGGGUCUCUGGGCCGAUACUGACGCUGAGGAGCGAAAGCGUGGGGAGCGAACAGGAUUAGAUACCCUGGUAGUCCACGCUGUAAACGUUGGGCGCUAGGUGUGGGGGGCCUCUCCGGUUCUCUGUGCCGCAGCUAACGCAUUAAGCGCCCCGCCUGGGGAGUACGGCCGCAAGGCUA
rnacentral:rRNA from 1 species